CCCUACAUCUCCCUUCUUCCCUCCACGGUGCUUCACUAUAUAGAUCACACUUUCUUUACUAGUUUUUUCAUCCUUCAUCACUACCAAAUUUCCAUUUUGGAAUAUAGAUUUGUGUAGUUAUACACUUGAGUACAAUGUAUUCAAAGAAAGCAUUCCUUAUCCUAGGCCUAUUUAUGGUGCUUCUUAUUUCCUUUGAGGUUUCAGCUAGGGACUUAACUGAGACUUCCUCUAAGGCCAAACAGGAUGUUUUUGAUGAACAGAGGAAUGAAGUAAUAGAUGUCAAAAUAGUAUGUUGUGGCUGUGAUGAGGUUCCGCCGGGCGGACAUCGGUGGUGCCACUCUUGCUGCUAAUAUGCUGGUGAAGUUGUUGUACUGUCAAAUUAUUAGGGCCAGGGGUGAGCAAAAUAUAGGGUGAUCCUUAACCGAGGACAACACUCAUAAUUGAUGAUAACAUGCAAGAUAUGAUAUGUACUACUUUUUAUAAUAAAAGUGGUGAAUAUGUGUUAUAUUGUGUUUUUUUUUUUUACAAAUGUAUUAUUUUUUUUAAAUGGUCAAUGAAAAUAAUUAGUUGUUAGUGUUA